AUUGAUGUGGUGUAGUGGUUUGAGUGUUGGAGCAUGACUCUGGAGACCAGGGUUCGAUUCCCUGCUCCGCUG